rnacentral:rRNA from 1 species
UGCGGAAGGAUCAUUGUCGGUGCCCCUCGAACUGAACGACCCGCGGACCCGUUACGGAACACCGUACAACAACCAACCCCGGCGCCAGUCGCGCCAAGGAAACGGAACGAACGCGCGCGCCCCAAUGACUCUCGGCAACGGAUAUCUCGGCUCUCGCAUCGAUGAAGAACGUAGCGAAAUGCGAUACUUGGUGUGAAUUGCAGAAUCCCGUGAACCAUCGAGUCUUUGAACGCAAGUUGCGCCCGAAGCCUUCCGGCCGAGGGCACGUCUGCCUGGGCGUCACGCAACGUCGCCCCACCCCCCGAGCGGGGCGGGGCGGACGAUGGCCUCCCGCGAGCGGUCAGCUCCCGGUUGGCCGAAACGCGAGCCUGCGGCGGCAGCUGCCACGAUCCACGGUGGGCGAGUCGAGCUCACUCGAGACCGGCCGUGCGCGAGCUGCCGCCGAGAAGGGCCAAGAGUCCCGCGCGCGCCACGGGCGCUUCCGACGCGACCCCAGGUCAGGCGGGGCUACCCGCUGAGUUUAA